rnacentral:lncRNA from 1 species
UAACUUAAGAGGGAAUAAGCACUAACGGUAGAAAACAUAGCAAGGUUGGUAAUUACCAUAAAUAAGUUCAAUAAUCACUUAAAAUAUCCCCUACUCAAAUCAUGUUAAAAGAAGGGUCCGAGCUUUACCAAAAAUAUGUCAAUCAAAUACCAACGAUUUUAUUGAAAUCCCAUUCUAAUAUUGAAGUAGGCAGUAAUAAAAGGGAACAAACAAAAAUUAUUAAAUCUCAAAUAAGAAGGUUAAAUUACGGGACAGUCAUGAAUAAUAGCUCGCAAUAAACAAACCUGUGGACGGGUUCUCAAGAACCCAUCGAUUUUUCGUUGAAGGACAGAUCACAUGGAAGGUCAGGUUUGGUAGUAGUGUUGUGGCAGAUACGACGCUUGGGGUUGAUGGAUGGUGGCUCAGAUUUGGGGGUUGACGUUGGAGCUACGGAGGGAGGCUGGAGGAGGCAACUGGUGUUGUCAUUGGUUAAGGAGAGGUGGAGAGAGGCAUCACCGGUGGCGGGAUGGUCGGCAGCCAUGGCUAUUUUUUAGAGAGAGAUUACAGAGAGAGAGAUUGUGGAGAUAGAGAGAGAAGAGUUACGGCUAUUUUAUGAAGAAUGAAUAGGGUUAGGGUUUGUAGUUGUUUAAGAAAGAAAAAUAAUGGGACUUGAUCUCAGCCGUCAAAUCGAUUUUCGAUCGACGGUUGAGAUUUAAGGGUUGAGAAUUUGAUUGAGAUUUGGCUAAAAUUAAAAUAAUUGAAUCACAAAUUGGUUAUGAUUGUAAUAAAUUAAAUAGAAUAGGCUAUUAUUGUAAGAAAUUGGAUAAAAAAUUAGGCUACAAGAUAAAUAAAUAAGGCAAGGUAAAUCUUAAAUAGUCUAUUAUUUAAAUUGUAGGUAUAAUAUAACAAUAAUAAUAAUAAUAAUAAAUAAUAAUAAUAAUAACAAUGUUAAUAAAUAAUAAUAAUAUAAAUAAAAAAUAAAUAGUACUAAAUAAUGGAAAAUUAGAUAAUGCAUUUGCAAAAUAUGAGUGUGUACAAUUACGUAAAAAAUAAUUUAAUAAAUAUUAAUAAAAUUACAUAAAAUGUCAUAAAAAAAUUAUAAAAAAGAUGCUAAAAGAUAAUGAAAUAAUUUAUGCCUUUUUUUUCUAAAUUAUGAAUGUCACACGUAAAUAUGUAGUUAAUAUAAGAAUAAUGGGUAAAAAUAUUAAUAUUAAAUAACUUUGAUAAAAUAACAGCCUAAAAGAAAUAUCGGGAGGUCAAAAUUGGGUGUCAACAGUUGCCCCUUCAUUGAUUGGAAUUGAUAAGAGAAUUGUCAAGCAACGAAAGUUGACAUAGUAGUCAAUUUUGUCUGACCGAGGAAGAUUCGUUUGAGUUAAGAGACAGGAGAUGGUUUGUAAUACCUCGCAUGUUUCUAAUCCUGUGAUUCAUAAUUGAGUACAUGACUUAUAAUGAAUAUCCUAGUGAUAGGAUAGCUUAUGAUCCAUUAAGCAUGUUCAUAUGAGUCACUUAAGGUAAUACAAGCUAAGAGUUUUUGAAUCCAUCAAGUUUUAGUGUUCGAUUUUGCAAGGGUCAUCUUUGAAUAAGUAUAACUUGAUAUUCAUGUGGUAUUUUAGCUGAUUUAGACCCACCGAAUUGUAGAGAAUUGAAUUACCUUUCCAACAAUACCAAUUUUGCCUUAAUCCAAUACCCGAGCGAAAAGUUAUGCCCAUUUUCGUGAGAGAUAGUAAGCAUAGGCGAUUGGUUAGGCGCCGCCCAACCCAAGCAUAGUCGAUCACUUGGGUGCCGCCUAAGUCAAUUCCAGGUGUCAAAAACACUCCUCCUUGAGUUAUUUUAAAGGUAAUUAAGUCUUUAAAUACUCCUUACGCGUCCCUAAACUUAACCCUAUGAAAUAUAUAGCUUCUAAACAUACUGCAACCCUAUUAUCAUCUCAAAGCUCAUCAUCCAAGAGCACUAAUAGAGAAAAACAACUAGGGUUGCGUAACUAAGCUUGAAGAUCCAAUUUCAAGGAAAUUCCUCCAUCAAUCAUCAAGAAUCUUCCUCCAAAGGUAUGCGUGUGUUGAUUUAUGGAUCCCUUUCAUCCAUAAAGCACAAAAAUCCUCUUUUUCAUUAUAAAGUAUGAUUUCUAUGUCGUUUGGUGUUGAUUAUCAUGUUGUUGAUAUUGGGUGAUUCCCAAGAUGGAAUCUUUAUAUGUUUUAUGAAUUCAUGAUAUCAUUUGAGUUGGAAACAUGUAAGUUUGGUUGUUCAUGAUGUAUAAUUUGAUGAAUUCACCUAUGCUUAAGAUGUGCAUGUAAGAUGUUUGAUAAAAUUCCUAAGGAACUAGAAAUCAUACAAUAUAGCUAAAUUGCGACUAAGUGAAGGAUUCAUGAUAUAUAGCUUCUAAACAUACUGCAACCCUAUUAUCAUCUCAAAGCUCAUCAUCCAAGAGCACUAAAAGAAAAAAACAACUAGGGUUGCGUAACUAAGCUUGAAGAUUCGAUUUCAAGGAAAUUCCUCCGUCAAUCAUCAAGAAUCUUCCUCCUAAGGUAUGCAUGUGUUAAUUUAUGGAUCCCUUUCAUCCCUAAAGCUCAAAAACCUUUUUUUUCAUUAUAAAGUAUGAUUUCUAUGUUGUUGGGUGUUGAUGAUCAUAUUGUUGAUAUUGGGUGAUUCCCAAGAUGGAAUCUUUAUAUAUUUUAUGAAUUCAUGAUAUCAUAUGAGUUGGAAACAUGUAAGUUUGGUUGUUCAUGAUGUAUAAUUUGAUGAAUUCACCUAUGCUUAAGAUGUUCAUGUAAGGUGCUUGAUAAAAUGCCUAAAGAACUAGAAAUCAUGCAAUAUAGCUAAAUUGUGACUAAGUGAAGGAUUCAUGAUAUGCCCUUACGUUACAAUGACUUCUAUGAUUGAUAAUGUGCCUUGUACAUGUUGUUGGAAUACUCAUGAACUAUUCUUAUGAGAUUAUGCUAUGUUUACUUGCAAAUCCUACUUAUGAACAGGAUGUAUGAUAACCAUGCAAUCCACAUGAACUUCCAUGUUAUUGGUAUGUGUUGCCAAUAUGAUUAUGCAAUGAACAUGAUAUUAAGAUUGUGCAAGUACUUUCAUGUGAUAUGAAAUCCUUUCCAUGCAAUACAUUGUUGAUAACCAUGCUUAGUAUGAGAUCCCUACUUAUGAUAUUAUAAAUUAUGGACUCUACUCUUAUGAUCAAGUCAGUCAUGUGUGUCAGUUUCCUUCCAUCGAUUCCUGGGGGUACUUGUACCCAAAAACUAUAGCUGUGUGCCUAGAUCCAUGUCAUGUUUCACGAUAUCCAAACUCAAGCUAUGAUUCCAUAGACUUCAGUCAGUCAUGUGACUCAGGAAAAUCUCAUGAUCUUAGUCAGUUGUCAGAUAUCAGUAACAUUCUGCCAGUCAAUGAAAUUCAGUAAGAUUAAGUCAUGCACAGUCAGUUAUUCAUGUCCAGUCCCUCCAGAUGGGAGUAGAGGUUAGCACCGAGUGAACCUAAGGAUGGGAGCCCACCCGCCAGUUCAGGGUGUGAUUCUUAGUAGAGAUCCUUGUGUUCUAGAACUACGUAGCCAGCGUAGGUUGAGAUAUCUUAACCCGUCAGAUUAGGGUUGAUGAGGUGGCUUAACCCAUUAGUUUAGGGUUCCCACCAUUCUCAUUUCAGUACCUACCAAAAUAGGGUCUCACAGCUAUCCUUACCAGUGGUGCGGUAUUGACACCCCUCCAGUCGGGGCAGAGAUUGGACCCCAACUUAGCCAUAAUGGCAUACAUGGGGCAUGUCGGUUAAAUACUACUUCCCACAGUUUCAGUAACAAUCUCAGUAUAAGAACUCAGGGCGUUCUUUAGAUUUCAGUAUAUACAAGACUGUCAGAUACAGUCAUCCAUGUUAUCAGUUUCAGUAAUAGUAUCAGUAAAAGAACUCAAGGCGUUCUUCAGAUUUUAGUAUAUACAGGACUGUCAGAUACAGUCGUCCAUGUUAUUAGUUUCAGUAUCAGUCAUGACAGUUAUUAGUAAACCAUGCAUUAGCUUACAGGUCAUGCUAUCACGUAUUCACGGUCCCAGUUUCUAUAUAUGUGUGUUUGCACUCCCACGUUCAUAUUAGUCAGUCAGUGUUGUUCAUGCAUGAAACCCUUUAUGUUCAGCCUACCUUCCUCGUAUACUCAGUACUCCAGUUGUACUAACGCAUUUUCGCUAUGGUGCUUUCUUUUCAUGUUACACCAUAGGUUCCGAGACACGAGCUCCAGCACAGCAGUAGCGGUAGCAUUCCAGUCGCAGAGACACAGUGAGUCCUUAUUGAUUCGAGGAAAAUAUGAUUUGAUUCAUUUAUUUAUUCUUCAUUUUAGUUUUACGGAGUUAGUUGGAGACAUAUUCCUUCAAUUCCUUAUUCAGAUAGUUUAGAGGCUUUCGAAUUUACUUUCAGAUUUACGUCCAGAUUUAGUUGUUUUGGGUAUUUUCGCCCACAUGAUUGUAUUCAGUUGUACCAUAUGGCCUUAUAGUUCUAUGUAUUCCGCAUUAUUAUAUUAUGAUUUGCAGUAUACAAGUACAAACAUCAGUCAUGGGUUAGCUUGUGAUCCCUCGGGGUCAUGAGCACCGUGUAGCAUUCCGGUUUAGCAAAUUAGGGUGUUACAAACUUGGUAUCAGAGCCUAAGGUUUAAUAGAGUCCUAGGAAGUCUGAAAGCCACAUCUAGUAGAGUCUUGUACAUAGGUGUAUAGCGUGCCACAUUUAUAUGCGGGAGGCUAUAAGAUAUUUUAGGAACAGUCCCCUUUCUUCAUUAUUCAUGUCAUGCUAGUGAGCAUAACACAAGUUAAACUCUCAGUCUAAUCCAUUCUUCUCUUAUUCCAGACCAUGGCCCCAAAGAGAAAAAACCAGCCAGCUCCUCAGCCCGAAGAUCCUUUGGGCGAACAUGUUUCCCAUGCGGACUUUAGAGCCGCAUUUACCACACUUGCUCAAUCUAUGGCUGCACAGAAUGAAUGGCCACCAGUCAUUCCAGCCAAUCCAAUGGCCACUCCCAAAGUAGCUAGGGUUCCGGACUUCACCCGGAUAGACCCUCCAUCUUUCCAUAGGUCUAAGUUUGAUGAGGACCCUCAGGAGUUCAUUGACAGAUCCAGAAGGUCAUUGACAUCAUAGGUGUUACUUCUAUUGAGAGUGCUGAGUUAGACGCCUACCAGUUAUAGGAUGUUGCUCAUGAUUGGUACAAAAAGUAGAAGUCUGAGAGGUUAGAUGAUACAGGCCCUAUCNNNNNNNNNNNNNNNNNNNNNNNNNNNNNNNNNNCCCUAAGAGCUGAGGGAAGCCAAAUUUCUUGAGUUCAUCAUACUAAGGAAGGGGAAUAUGACGGUUAGGGAGUAUUCUCUUAGAUUUACUCAGCUAUCCAGGUAUGCUCCUCAUGUGGUUGUAGAAAAUAGAGCUAAGAUGAGCAAGUUCAUUUCAGGGGUCAAUGAUAGCGUGGUAAAUGAGUGUAUAUCUGCGAUGCUGAUCAGUGAUAUGACCUUAGCAAGACUCAUGACCCAUGCCCAGCAAGUAGAAGAGCAGAAGUUUAAGACUAGGGAGAGGCAGAACAGGAGAGCAAGGUCAGGUAAUUUCAACUUUGCUCACCCUAAGUCAGAUGGAGGAAACCGUUCACAGUUUCACUCCAAGUCAGCCAUUCCAGCUCCUUCCUCUGCCAGCACUUCAGUGCUGAAGUUCAGAGAUGGCAAUAGAAAUAAAGCACCAGGCUCUAAAUCUCAGAGCAGUGUUAGCAGUGCCCGAAUGAAUCCCCUUUGUCAGACUUAUGGUAAGAACCACAAGGGCAUUUGCAGAGCCGGUAGUGAUGUCUGUUUUGGUUGUGGAAAGCCAGGCCACAGGAUUAGGGAGUGUCUGCAGUCAAGUUUUUAGGUUCGGCAAAAUUAUUCUACAGCUCAUUCCAGUCGCCCAAACCAGCAGGGUGCCAUUUCCAGUGCUACCAGUGGGAAACGCCCAAACAGACUCUAUGCUCUUUAGUCCCAGAAGGAUCAGGAAAAUUCUCCUGAUGUCGUUACUGGUACGUUACAUAUUUUCCAUGUUCAUUUUUAUGCUUUGCUAGACCCAGGUGCAUCUUUGUCUUUUGUUACUCCAUAUAUAGCAAAUGAUUUUGGAAUCAGUCCCAAAGUCCUAGCAGAACCCUUCUCAGUCUCUACCCCAGUGGGUAAAACCAUCAUAGCCCGGCGGGAAUACAGGAACUACCCGGUUAUGAUAUCUCAGAAAUCCACAUCAGCAGAUUUAGUGGAGUUAGAGAUGACUGAUUUUGAUAUCAUUCUUGGCAUGGAUUAGCUUUAUUCCUGCUAUGCCACAAUUGACUACAGAAAUAGGAUAGUUUAGUUUCAAUUCCCAAAUGAGCCCGUCCUAGAGUAGAAGGAUAGCAUUUCCGCGUUCAGGGGUCAACUUGUUUCCUACCUUCAGACAAGGAAAAUAAUCUCUAAGGGGUGUGUGUAUCAUCUCGUGCAUAUUAAAGAUUCUAGUUCUGAAUAUCCCAGCCUCGAAACAGUCCCGGUUGCUAAUGAAUACUCAAAUAUCUUUCCUGAAGAUCUUUCAGGCAUUCCUCCCGAAAGGGAAAUAGACUUCGGUAUAGACCUUCUUUCGGAUACUCAACCUAUUUCUAUUCUGCUAUACAGAAUGGCACCAGUAGAACUCAAGGAACUAAAAGAUCAGUUGAAGGAUCUCUUAGAUAAGGGAUUCAUCAGACCCAGCGUUUCCCCAUGGGGUGCGCCAGUAUUAUUCAUGCACAAGAAAGAUGGUUCUCUCAGGAUGUGUAUUGAUAAUCGUCAACUCAACAAGGUCACGGUCAAGAAUAGAUAUUCUCUUCCCAGGAUUGAUGAUCUAUUCAACCAACUUUAGGGUUCCAGUUACUUCUCCAAGAUAGACCUCAGAUCAGGCUAUCAUCAGCUCAGAGUUAGAGAAUGUGACAUUCCGAAGACAGCUUUCCGUACUCUGUAUGGUCACUUUGAAUUUUUUGUCAUGUCAUUUGGUCUUACCAAUGCCCCAAUAGCUUUUAUGGAUUUGAUGAACCGUGUGUUCAAGCAGUACUUGGACAUGUUUGUCAUAGUCUUUAUAGAUGAUACUUUGAUCUAUUCUCGUACAGAGCGUGAUCAUGCAGACCAUCUUAGGAUUGUUCUUCAGACUCUCAGGGAUCAUCAGUUAUUCACUAAGUUCAGCAAAUGUGAAUUUUAGCUAAGAUCAGUAGCAUUCCUUGGCCAUAUUAUUUCCGGUGAUAGCAUUAGAGUAGAUCCUCAAAAAAUUGAGGCAGUAAGAAACUGGCCCAGAUUCAUAUCUCCAUCAAAUAUUAGGAGUUUCUUGGGUUUGGCUGACUAUUACAAAUGUUUUGUUGAGGGAUUUUAUUCUAUUGCAUCUCCUAUGUCCAGAUUGACUCAAAAAAAGAUUAAAUUUCAGUGGUCAGAUUCAUGGGAGAAAAGUUUUCAAGAGUUAAAGACUCGACUCACCUCCACUCCAGUUCUAGCUAUUCCAGAUGGUUCAGACGGUUUUGUAGUCUAUUGUGAUACAUCCAGAGAGGGUUUAGGUUGUGUUCUCAUGCAGUAUGAUAAGGUCAUAGCCUAUGCCUCCAGACAGUUAAAGCCACAUGAGAAGAAUUAUCCUACUCAUGAUCUUGAGUUAGCAGCGGUAGUUUUUAUCUUGAAGAUUUAGAGGCAUUAUCUCUAUGGAGUUCAUGUAGAUGUCUUCACAGACCAUAAGAGCCUCCAAUAUAUCUUUUCCUAGAAAUAUCUCAAUCUUUGCUAGAGAAGGUGGUUAGAGCUUUUGAAGGAUUACAACAUGAGUGUUCUUUAUCAUCCGAGCAAGGCCAAUGUUGUGGCCUACGUUCUCAGUCGACUCUCCAUGGGUAGUAUUUCUCACGUAGAGGAUAGUAAGAAAAAGAUGGCUCAGGAGAUCCAUCAGCUUGCCAGACUAGGCGUUCGCUUAGUCAAUUCUUCAGAUGGUGGUGUAUGUGUUCAUAGUAGUUCAGAGUCAUUUCUAGUUUUCGAGGUGAAAGAGAAACAAGACAGGGAUCCUAUCCUUGUCAAGCACAAAGAGUCAGUUCAGAAUUAGAAAGUCGAGAUUUUUUCCCAAGGGGAGAUAUUGUUCUUCGUUGUCAGGGUAGUCUAUGUGUUCCAGGUGUAGAUGAAUUAAGGCAGCAAAUUCUUACAGAAGUGCAUGGUGCACUAUACUCUAUUCAUCCAGGGGCCACUAAGAUGUACCACGAUAUGCGUGAGAUCUAUUGGUAGAGUGGGAUGAAGAGAGAUAUUGUAGAGUUUGUGGCUAAGUGCUCUACAUGCUAGUAGGUUAAGAUAGAGCAUCAGAAACCUAGUGGUUCCAUGCAAGAUUUCACCAUUCCUACUUGGAAGUGGGAAGAAGUUAACAUGGACUUCGUGACAGUUUUGCCUAGAACUCAUCAUCAGCAUGAUUCAGUCUGGGUCAUUAUAGAUAGAAUGACCAAGUUAGCUUAUUUCCUUCCUGUUUGUACUACUUAUUUCACCGAGGAUUAUGCCAAAAUCUAUAUCAAGGAGUUAGUUAGAUUACACGGUGUUCCACUAUCUAUCAUCUCAGACAGAGGUACCCAGUUCACUUAUCACUUUUGGAAAGCAUUCCAAAAGGGUCUUGGUAUCGAAGUCCAUCUCAGCACAGCAUUUCAUCCUCAGACAGAUGGUCAAGCAGUGAGGUCCAUUCAGAAUCUUGAAGAUAUGCUAAGGGCGUGUGCAAUUGACUUCAAGGAAAGUUGGGAUGACCACUUGCCUUUGAUUGAGUUUGCAUACAACAAUAGCUAUCAUUCUAGUAUUCAGAUGGCUCCAUUCGAAGCUCUCUAUAGUAGGAGAUAUAGAUCUCCAAUUGGUUGGUUCGAAGUUAGUGAGGCCUCAAUCAUAGGUCCUGACUUAGUAUUCGACACCUUAGAGAAAGUUCAGUUGAUUAGAGAGAGACUCCGGGCUGCUCAAAGCCGAUAGAAGUCCUAUGUAGAUGUUCGUAGAAAGGAUCUCGAGUUCGAGGUCAAUGACUAUGUCUAUCUUAAGAUCUCUCCUAUGAAGGGAGUGAAGAGGUUUGGCAAAAAAGGGAAAAUUAGUCCCCAAUAUGUCGUUCCCUUCAGAAUUCUUUGUCGCUUUGGCAAGGUAACUUAUGAGCUUAAGUUGCCUUCAGAUCUAGUCUCAGUCCAUCCACUCUUCCAUGUCUCUUUGAUAAAGAAGUGUAUAGGUGACCCAACAAUUGUUCUCCCUAUUCAGAGCAUCGACAUUCAGAACAGCCUCUCUUAUGAAGAGAUUCUAGUCGAAAUCUUAGAUUAUCGGACUCAUAGAUUGAGGAACAAAGAAAUCCCUCUAGUCAAGGUUCUUUGGCGAAAUCAGUCUCAUGAGGGAUCUACUUGGGAAGCAGAAGCAGAUAUGCGUAUCAAGUAUCCUCACCUCUUCCCCACCAAUUCAGAUCAAGCUCAAGGUAGCAGUUCUACUUAAGCUUAUUAAGUUUCAUGUUCAUGUUUCCAGUAUAAACUUGGUACUUACUAACCUUUUCAUACUUAGUCAUGCAUUCAUGUGUCAGUUUUUCGUGUAUCAGAUAUGCAUGAGUUUAGUAUGUUUAGCAUGUCAGUCAUGAGAUCAAGUUUCAGUUCUUCGUGUUCAGUUCAGGUUCUAUUAUCUUGUAUCCCUUCUCAGUAAAUUCUCAUUCAAGGUUGAAUGUUCCCAAGUGGGAGAUAUUGUAAUACCCCGCAUGUUUCUAAUCCUGUGAUUCAUACUUGAGUACAUGACUUACAAUGAAUAUCCUAGUGAUAGGAUAGCUUAUUAUCCAUUAAGCAUGCUCAUAUGAGUCACUUAAGGUAAUACAAGCUAAGAGUUUUUGAAUCCAUCAAGUUUUAGUAUUUGAUUUUACAAGGGUUAUCUUUGAAUAAGUAUAACUCGAUGUUAAUGUGGUAUUUUGGCUGAUUUAGACCCACCAAAUUGUAGAGAAUCAAAUUAGUUUUCCAACGAUACCAAUUUCGCCUUAAUCCAAUACCCGAGCAAAAAGUUAUGCCAAUUUUCGUGAGAGACAGUAAGCAUAGGCGAUUGGUUAGGUGCCGCCCAACCCAAGCGUAGGCGAUUGGUCAGGCGCCGCCCAACCCAAGCAUAGUCGAUUGGUUAGGCACCACCCAACCCAAGCAUAGGCGAUCACUUGGGCGCCGCCUAAGUCAAUUCCAGGUGUCAAAAACACUCCGUCUUGAGUUAUUUUAAAGGUAAUUAAGUCUUUAAAUACUCUUUACACGUCCUUAAACUUAACCCUAUGAAAUAUAUAGCUUCUAAACAUACUGCAACCCUAUUAUCAUCUCAAAGCUCAUCAUCCAAGAGCACUAAAAGAGAAAAAUAACUAGGGUUGCAUAACUAAGCUUGACGAUUCGAUUUUAAGGAAAUUCCUCCGUCAAUCAUCAAGAAUCUUCCUCCUAAGGUAUGCGUGUGUUGAUUUAUAGAUCCUUUUCAUCCAUAAAGCUCAAAAACCCUCUUUUUCAUUAUAAAGUAUGAUUUCUAUGUUGUUGGGUGUUGAUGAUCAUGUUGUUGAUAUUAGGUGAUUCCCAAGAUGGAAUCUUUAUAUGUUUUAUGAAUUCAUGAUAUCAUAUGAGUUGGAAACAUGUAAGUUUGGUUGUUCAUGAUGUAUAAUUUGAUAAAUUCACCUAUGCUUAAGAUGCUCAUGUAAGGUGUUUGAUAAAAUGCCUAAGGAACUAGAAAUCAUGCAAUAUAGCUAAAUUGUGACUAAGUGAAGAAUUCAUGAUAUGCCCUUACGUUACAAUGACUUCUAUGAUUGAUAAUGUGCCUUGUACAUGUUGUUGGAAUACUCAUGAACUAUUCUUAUGAGAUUAUGCUAUGUUUACUUGCAAAUCCUACUUAUGAACAGGAUGUAUGAUAACCAUGCAAUCCACAUGAACUUCCAUAUUAUUGGUAUGUGUUGAAAAUAUGAUUAUGCAAUGAACAUGAUAUUAAGAUUGUGCAAGUACUUCCAUGUGAUAUGAAAUCCUUUCCAUGCAAUACAUUGUUGAUAACCAUGCUUAGUAUGAGAUCCCUACUUAUGAUAUUAUAAAUUAUGGACUCUACUCUUAUGAUCAAGUCAGUCAUGUGUAUCAGUUUUCUUCCAUGGAGUCCUGGGGGUACUUGUACCCAAAAACUAUAGUUAUGUGGCUAGAUCCAUGUCAUGUUUCACGAUAUUCGAACUCAAGAUAUGAUUCCAUAAACUUCAGUCAGUCAUGUGAAUCAGGAAAACCUCAUGAUCUUAGUCAGUUGUCAGAUAUCAGUAACAUGCCGCCAGUAAAUGGAAUUCAGUACGAUUAAGUCAUGCACAGUUAAUUAUUCAUGUCCAGUCCCUCCAGAUGGGAGUAGAGGUUAGCCAGUCAAUAAAAUUCAGUAAGAUUAAGUCAUGCACAGUCAGUUAUUCAUGUCCAGUCCCUUCAGAUGGGAGUAGAGGUUAGCACCGAGUGAACCCAAGGAUGGGAGCUCACCCGCCAGUUCAGGGUGUGAUUUUUAGUAGCAAUUCUUGUGUUACAGAACUACGUAGCCAGCGUAGGUUGAGACCUUUUAACCCAUCAGAUUAGGGUUGAUGAGGUGGCUUAACCCGUCAGUUUAGUGGUCCCACUGUUCUCAUUUGAGUACCCGCCAGAAUAGGGUCUCACAGCUGUCCUUACCAGUGGCGCGGUAUUGACACCCCUCCAGUCGGGGUAGAGAUUAGACCUUAGCUUAGCCAUAAUGGCAUACAUGAGGCAUGUCGGUUAAACACUACUUCCUAUAGUUUCAGUAACAGUCUCAGUAAAAGAACUCAGGGCAUUCUUCAGAUUUCAGUAUAUACAGGACUGUCAGAUACAGUUAUCCAUAUUAUCAGUUUCAGUAACAGUCUCAGUAAAAGAACUCAGGGAGUUCUUCAGAUUUUAGUAUAUAUAGGACUGUCAGAUACAGUCGUCCAUGUUAUCAGUUUCAGUAUCAGUCAUGACAGUUAUUAGUAAACUAUGCUUUAGCUUACAGGUCAUGCUAUCAUGUAUUCAUAGUCCUAGUUUUUAUAUAUGUGUGUUUGCACUCCCACAUUCAUAUUAGUCAGUCAGUGUUGUUCAUGCAUGAAACCCUUUAUGUUCAGCCUACCUUCCUCAUAUACUCAGUACUCCAGUUGUACUGACGCAUUUGCGCUAUGGUGCUUUCUUUUUAUAUUACACCAUAGGUUCCGAGACACGAGCUCCAGCCCAGCAGUAGCGGUAGCAUUCCAGUCGCAGAGACACAGUGAGUCCUCAUUUAUUUGAGGACAAUAUGAUUUGAUUUAUUUAUUUAUUCUUCAGUUCAAUUUUACUAAGUUAGUUGGAUACAUGUUCCUUUAACUCCUUAUUCAGACAGUUUAGAGGCUUUCGAAUUUACUUUCAGAUUUACGUCCAGAUUUAGUUGAUUUAGAUACUUUUGCCCACAUGAUUGUAUUCAGUUGUACCUUAUGGCCUUACAGUUCCAUGUAUUCCGCAUUAUUAUAUUAUGAUUUGCAGUAUACAGGUACAAACAUCAGUCAUGGGUUAGCUUGUGGUCCUUUGGGGUCAUGAGCACCGUGUAGCAUUCCGGUUCCGCAAAUCGGGGUGUUACAUGAUUUUAAAAAUAGUAUGGCUGAAACUUCAGUUUCAAGUCGCCAAUAUAUCUUUGGUUUUACGAGAAUCAGGCCGUUUGUAGUUCUAGAUUUAGGAAUGGACAAUAUUCCUAAAAAAUGUUAAUGAUAAAGGAUAGGGCAUCAACAACGGUAUCGCAGGUCCGUGAGACGGUAAUGAAUAGACUUUGAGUGAUGAUAUAUGAAGUAGUGAAAAUGUCGAGGUGGAUGAAGAGAUGGAUGAAUAGAUGGGGUAAUAUUCCUAAAAUAGAAAUGAAAAUUAUCUCUGUUUGUUAAUCCUUCUCCAUCGCCCACGUACUUUAUGGUAUACUUGAUAACCAGGGUUAAGUCAUGUAAAUGACAAGCAUUUAAAAACAUAAAGUGAAUGUAAGAAGUAAAGAAAGUGUAUCUAUUGUACUGCUAAAUUUGAUGUUUGGCUUCUCGACAUGACGUUAGAUCAUAGCGUUAGAUCAGUUGUUUGGUCUCUCAUUAUACGUUAGAUCUACUGUUUGGAUUUAUCGAUACGGCGUUAGAUCAGCUGUUAGAUCUCUUGACGUAGCAUUGGAUCAACUGCUUGUCUUCUCAAUAUGAUGUUAGAUCGAUUGUUGAACCUCUCGAUGUUGGAUCAGCUGUUUGGCUUCUCGAUAGGAUGUUGGAUCAGUUGUUGAGCCUCUCGAUAUUGGAUUGGCUGUUUGGCUUCUCGAUAUAAUGUUGGAUCGGUUGUUGAACCUCUUGAUGUUGGAUUAUCUAUUUGACUUCUCUAUAUGACGUUGGAUUGGCUAUUGAACCUCUCGAUGUAUCAUUGGAUCAGCUAUUUGGCUUCUCGAUAUAAUGUUGGAUUGGUUGUUGAACCUCUCAAUGUUGGAUUGAGCUGUUUAGCUUCUUGAUAGGGAAUUGGAUCGGUUAUUGGACCUCUCAAUGUAUCGUUGGAUCACCUGUUUGGCUUCUUGAUAUGGAGUAAUUUGUACUUGUUAGUCCUGCCAUUUUUAUCUCAACUGGAUAAAAUGGUUAGCAUGUAUGUAUAGAAGAUUGAACAACGUAGUGAAAACAACUAUAACAAUAAUGAUAAGAGUAGAUAAGAAAGCGUAUCUGUUGUAUUGUCGUAUCAACUGUUGAGUCCUCUCGUCAUGAUGUUGGAUUGGUCAUUGGGACUCUCAUGAUGAACUGAUUGUUAUCAUCUGUACAUGUUAAUCCUGUACUCAAAGAAAAGUCGCCAGUCAAAUAGAAAUGUGGAUUUAUAUAUGCUUGAGUCGACUCCUUGGUCGUUUUUUUCUAUUCCAUGAACUGUUGGGAUUUGUACUCCGUCGUGAUGAAAUUUUUGAGACAUUCUCAAAAAUUUCUGCCCUAGUUUAGAAUGUGAAGUGCCUUUUCUCACUUCAUUGUAAAUGAAUAUAUUAUUCACUCAUGAAAUUUUUGAGAUUUUCUCAAAAAUUUCUACCACAGUUUAGAAUGAAAGGUGUCUUUUUGCACGUCAUUGUGAAUAAGUAUAUUGGUCACUCAUGAAAUUUUUUGAGUUUUUUCUUAAAACCUCAAAAAUUCUGCCCCAGUUUUGUCUUCAAAUUCUUAUAUUCCUGUACCUCUCAAAGAAAAUGUUAGUCCAAGAUAAAUGGCUAUCCUACAUUUGAACAUCGUAACCUCAAUUGUAAUCUGCCUUUAUAUGCUCAAGAGUUGGGCCAAUUAGCAUGGCGAUUUGGAAGUGUAGCAAUGUGAAAGAGAGGGGGAAAUGAGUGUUUUAUUAGAUAAAGACCGGACCCAGAGUGGGUUGCCUACGUAUCCAAAUGGAAGUCAGGUCAAACGUAGUUCAUGAGUACAACGAAAUGUAAAGAAAACAAGAAAAUGUUGCUAGCCGUAAGGCGAGUAAAAUAGUGGCGUGAAGCAAGAGUCAAUUCAUGUGAUGCUUUUUAUGUUUCUUUAGUGAAAAUCUUAGAUCUUGUUGGACAGAGUAAGAUUGGAUCUGAUGAGCCCUGUUUUGAGGACCAAAAUCAGCAUGGGUCUAUUAUAUCGAUAACCUUAUGUUUGAGGUAUGGAGGGCGACUAAUCCUCUUUCUCUUCCUUGGGUAGAUUCUUUGUUUCAUAUUCUAAUUUCUUUACAAUCAAAAUUAGACUCUCAAAGUUGUGAUUGACCAGGAAGAAUAUUUUUUGAAAGUAUAUUCCGUUUAGUGUCUUGAGGAAAAUUUACACCAAUUCCUCCUCAGGUAUAGAAGGGUGUAUUUUCAAAGCCUCUAACCUCCAUCGAGUUGCAUAUUCCUCAAAAGAUUCAUGGGUUGCUCUCUUCAUCUCGAGCAAUUCCCUCAUUGUCGGACCAGUAUUAAUGUUAAACUUGUAUUGUCUCACAAAAUCUUGAGCCAAUUCUUCCCAAUUAUGCCACUUGUCGAAGUCUUGUUGGGCGAACCAUGUGAGUGUCAUUCCUAAAAAACUCUAAAUAAACAGUCUCAUGAGGAGAGGCUCAUUGUACCUAUGCCAAUUAGUCUGCCACAAUAGUCCUUCAGAUAUGUGAUUGGAUCGCCAUGCCCAUCGAAUAUGUUGAUCUUGGGAACUUUGUAUCCUGGAGGUAAAUCAAUCCAUGGAUGUAUGCAUAAUUUCUCAUACCUCAAGUCGUAGAUACCUCUAGAACACAGUUCCUCAUUCAUUCUUCUUUCUAAGUCACAAAGCCUUCGCCAACGCUCAUCUGAUUUGAUCCUUUAACUUUCAGAAGUGUCAUGUGUAAAAGAGAACUGCCGAGAAGGGGUGUGGGUAAGGCGAGGAUAAGGAGUCAAAGUGUUUUGCUUUGGGCGAUGAGAAGGAGGACAGAAAACUUUUCAGAUAUUGAGCAUAUUUGUCAUAUUGCAGAUUGCCACUUGAGUUCAAUGUUCAAAUGCUAGACAACCUUAAAAUAAAAUAAGUUAAGCAAAAAUUACCACAUAAUGCAUAAUUUCAACACAUAAGAAAUACAAAACAAAAGUCAUUCCUGGAUGAAGUCUAAGCCUUAAUAAGCGUUCUAGGCGUUUGAGCUCCUAAUGCACGAAAUAUGAUAGUGAUAGAAUAUAAUGUCAUAUUUGCAAUUGUGAGUGUAAAUAAGAUAAGAAAGAUAGGAAAUAAGUAAGGCCGACUUUUGUUGAACACCAGAUUUGUUGAUUCAAAACAUCCUUUGUAAUUGAUAUUGCAUCACACUGUUGAUUCAUCCAACUCCAUAUAGAAAAGGAUAAAUCAUGGGGGGGAAAUUUCAUUAUUGUGAGACUGAUCUCAUUAAAUGAGCACCUACAUAUCCAUAAGGAAAUCAGGUCAAUCGUAGUUCAAAUUACAUAAGCAAGGAAAACGUAAAAAGGAAUCUGCAGAAUGUAAAGCUUGAAGGAAUUUCAAAUGUUGAGAGUCUGGAGCGGAGAAUCAACCAGUGUAGAACCCUAGAAAGUCAAGCUUAGUAACUCAAUCAUCACGAUUCAGCUUUAUCAGACUUAUCACUUUAUCGUCAAUCAGUGUUUGAAUUUUUUCUUUCAAAGUUCAACACUCUUCUGUACUGUGCCUUUUCAUCCCGGAAUGAUAAGCACAAGUUUUAGAAAGAUUAAGCCACGGUGCACAUGUGUUCAUGACAAUUGCAGGAACAUGAGUAAUAUAGCCAGCCAUCCUCAGUCUCUCAUAAAUUUGAGUUAUAGGCUCAAUCAAAGGAGUGUACCAUCUUGGUACAUUUUUCUGAAGCUUACAUUGAGGUUUGGUAGAUUUGUUGGAUUAUUGAUUUGUGGGUGGACUUGGGUAAAAAACUGGAAUGUAGUUUGAUGUUGGAGAAACAAAUGGAAGUAGGUGCCAAACAGUCUGUGAAAGAGGUUUUGUGAAGAAAUGGGGAUGAUAGGCUUGGACAUAAUUAGAGGUUGGGAUAAUUUCUGGAGCUGGGUACCAUAUCAGUCGAGGUUAAGGUGCGCUUACUUCAGGUUUUGAAGGUUUGAAUGUCUUGUUGAUUACCAUCUUUCCCUUAUUCUUGGACUGUGGCCUAACUAAAUUUGCCUCAACUGUGAGCUUUCCGUUAAGCUUAUUGUCAAACUGCCUAAUAAAGUCAGUUGUCAAAGGAUUCCAAGAAACCCAGUUGCUAGGGCCUUUGUUUGCGUACCAAAUCACUGCCGGACCUAUAAGUGAGCAGACAAAGAGCUUUAUCUUGAUACCAUCACUUUGCCCUAUAACUGCUAGUUCAUAAAGACAGGCCUUCAAAUGGCAAUGAGGGUUUUCUGACCCAUCAUACAAUGGAAAGUUCAGGUCCACAAUUUUAUCCUUGUCUUUGUCCUUAGCCUUGGGCGACUUAUUCAUCUCGGGCUGUUGAGAUGACUCUGCCUUUAGGUUAAGAAUUUGUCAUUCCAUUUUAUUCUCCUUACCCAUAGUUGUCAACCCAUUGAGCAUUGUCUGUAGUGCAACUGAAUAUCGACUUAAAGACACUUGUGCCCCAAAAUCAGGCAUGGGUGAGGUCAUCAAUAUAGGAGAUGACAUAGUAUAGGUGGGAGCAAUGAAGUCAGUUUCGGAUAGUGGCUCUGGAAAAUCUGGUGGCAUCUCAACCGAACCUCGAAGAUUAGUCAUUAUCCCCCUGAUUCUCUCUAUUUUCCCUUCUAUUUCUGAUGUUCAAAAUAACUUUGUUUUGACGCAACCCCAAAUCCUCAUACUCAUCAUCGCUAUUGACAAGAUCGAUAAACAUCGCUUGACUAGCCAUCCUUGAUGUUCAACUUUAGUCGACCUUAGAAGAAAAUACUUAUGAUUAGAUUAUAGAGUACGCACGGGAGUGUAGAAUGAAUAUUCUACUCAUUUGAAAAUAGUGAGUUAUGCUCACUCAGAGUGAAUAGACGUGAUGAGAGCUCUAUAUGACUUAAGGGUUAUGAAAGCUAAAGCACGACAUGAUUACGAAUAUAUUAAUUUCGAGAAUCUUGGUAGGAUAAUAGUAUGUAAAUGUUGGAAACAUUAGGAAGAGGAUAUCCUAAAAUGAUAAGUUGCACUAAGAGAUUGGAGAAUAAGACUAAAACUUUUAUCAAAGUAAGAGUUGAGCCUAAAGAUUACCAAUAUACUAACGGAUGAGUCAGGAGGAUAAAUGGAAGGUAGGUAUUGAAUAGGCCCUAAGAGUGUAUUGUAUGGUCCAAAUAUAAUAAGAAUUCUAAGAGUAAAGAGAUAUAAAGUAAGGAACACUAAAUAAAAGGAGUGACUCAGGCAAGAACGGAAACAACAAGAUAGGCAAGAGGUCAAUACAUACAUAGAAAUGAAACACAUAGUAAAUAAUUAUGAGUCCUUUUGAGACUGUGAACCUCUUUGGACUUUGAAUGAGACUAACAUUCAACGCGUCAAGAAUGCCAUGGCAUCCUACGUUAAAUGGGACACAUAUUCCUUAAUCAAAGAAAUAUGUAACCAGGACCUAAAGGGCAAGAGUGGGUUUAUGACAUGGUUACCUCGAGUGGACAACUCGAGAGUGGGAAAGCUUGUGGAUAUCAAUGAACCACUGAUCGAUCAAUCCAUAAGACAUUUCCCGAAGGGUGUUUUAGAAAAGAACGUCUAUGUAUUCAUGCAACCAUUCAUAAAAAGAAAACAAAAGAGGUUUCCAAGUGAAGGAAUGUAUAAGCGGGAUGUCAGGUAUAUAAGAAGUAACACGUAGCACAUAGCAACACCAUAGCAUGCUUUAGCAGAUAGAAACAUUUAAUCAAUAAAAGUAGGCAUGAAAAAAAUAGAGAAAGGGAAGGGACAGAUAAAUCAUGAUGUGAAUAAACAAUAAGAGAAGAACAUAUAGAAAAUAAAUCAUGUCAAAAGCAAAUAUUAUGAUAAAAAAAAUAAAGAGAAUCCCACUUAAAGCACAAAUUCGCAAUGGUUAGAACCUAAGAUCCCCAGCAGAGUCUCCAUUCUGUCGUGCCCCGUUUUCCUCGUGGAAAGCGGAAUUCGACGUGACAAACUUUUUUGGGGAUUGUUUAAAGGUAGAGUAUAAAGAGCCACCACCUAACGAAUUAAGGUGCAUUAGGGCACCGGUCUAGGCCAACUACGAACCUAUUUUUUGUUUUGUCUUAGUUCACCAUAGUUCGGGUAAGGGUUCAAAUUACCUUAAAAAUAAGGUGUUAGGCACCUUUCGAGGUUCACAAAGGUGGUUCCCGGACAAAUUCAUACUUUACAUAGGGAUUCUAUGUGAUCAAAUAAAGGUAUCUUGUUUUAUUAUUAAUUUAAUGUUUAACUAAGUGAGAAAGUAAUUAAUAAACAAAAAACAUGUUAUUUUAUUAUUUCUAAUUGUUAAUUAUCUAAUUGAUGAAAUAAAUAAAACAUGUAAACAAGAUAAGCGAGGAGAAAGAAGUGACAAAAUCAUAAUAAUAGGGAUUGCUUAAGUAAUAACUAACUACCCCAAAUAAACAUGUAAAGUAAAUAAAAGACUAAAAGAAAUCGUCCAAGUCAAACAAAGAAAUGUUUUGGUCUCAUUCAGAUCAGAACCUAACUUGUUUAAUCAUUAUUCGACCCAAGGGCCGAACUCUUAGACAAGUAAUAAUGUCAUUAGCCUUGCCGUUAAUAUCCGUUGGGAUCAUCAUUUCCGAAUGACUACCCGUCCCACCCCACCUAGGCUGGUUGUUAAGUCUAAGGGCAUUCUAUGACAAGGAUAAAACUAACGUUAUUAGUAGUACUUAUCGUCCCACCUAUCGUCCAAGAGGCAUUGGACUUUACUAUUUUGGAUUUGCGUUCUAGACGAAAAGAAAGCUAUGUUGCCUAGACUUGAAGUGCGUAACAAAUAGGACGUUACGUAGCACAUAAUUGUCCCAAGUUAGCCUCUUAAUUAAUUAAAGUUAAUUUAUGUGAUAUCAUGCAGACACAAGUAAUUAUUUAUUAUGUCAUUAACCUAUAGGCAUGAUGUCUAAAUGUUCAAUCAAGUGGUGAUAAAGGACAACUGUGAUUCGUGGAUGCAACAAUGUGAUGUGUAUUCAUGAGGGGUGUCAUGAGUGUGGUAAUUGUGUUAAGAGAUGUGCUCGUGAAUUAAGUGUUAUAAACUAUAAUGAGAAUAUAAGAAACUAGUAGAAUAUUAAAGGAUACGUUAACAUGUUAGGGAUGCACUUAAAUGCAGAGAACAAAUUAACAUGUAGAAAAUGUAGAGAACUAGUAUUUUAGCAUGCUGGAAGUCAACUAAACAUGCUGAAAAAUUAAUCAAACAUGCUGAAAAAGUUGAGUAAACAUGCUAGAAAAUUAAUUAAUCAUGCUGAAAAGUUACUUAAACAUGCUGAAAAAAAUUAAUUAAACAUGCUGAAAAAUUAAUUAAAAACAUGCUGAAAAAUUAAUUAAACAUACUGAAAAUAACGUUAAGCAUGCUGAAAGUUGUAUUAAACAUGCUGAAAAUAUUAUUUAAAAUGCUGUAAAUAAUGUUAAGACGUAGUAAUUUCAUGUUGAUAUGCUGAAAACAUGCCAAGAAUGCCUAAAAUCUAAUACUUUGACAUCCUAUAGAUGUAGAGAACUAGCAUUUUAAACAUACCGAAAUUAGAUUCGUUAUACCAAAAUUGUAUUUUUUAUGUACAGUGAAUUAAAAUGUGGGGCACGCAAUAAAUGUGAACAUGUUGAAUAUGCUAAAGUAAACUGUUUAACAUGCUCAAAGUUUGUUAACGUGUAAAAAACAUUGACAAGAUUAUUUUAACAUUAGACAUGUUAAAAGAUACUACAUACUCAAAUUUAAUGCUUAACGUGUUAAAAUGCUUAAAAGUGCCAAAGUUUAACAUGCUGAAACAUACAGACAAUUUUAACGCUAUGUUUUUAACAACACGUGCUAUUAUACUAACCUUGACAUACUUAAUUCAAGUUAAUAUACUAGAAAUACAUUAACAUUCUAAAAAUCAAUUCCACGUGAUAAAAAUACAUCAAUAUGCUCAAUGUCAAUAUAAGGCGUUGAUUUUAGCUAGAUAAAGAAUAAUUAAUAAACCGUAGAACAUGAUUCAUAUUAAUAAAUCCUAAUUUUGUGCCUAGAUGAUUCAAGUAACAUGUAUUGCACGUACUCCUAGGUUGUUCCUACCUAUACCAUUCACAGAGCAUGUAAAGCUCUGCUCCCAAAGAUGUCCCCAAAUAUUUUAUUAGUACAUCAAUAAUAAAAUGUCUUUACAAAGAUUACAAAUCAAAUAACGCGAAAAUAAGAGAAAAAUAACUAGCUAUAACAAUAUUCAGUUUAACAUCCCAGCGACUCUUUGGAGUUCCCCUUUCUAAUAAUACCUGUUGAACAUAAUAAAAAAAAUAAGCGCGGGACAAAUACACUCAUAGACAGGCAUAUUGAAACAAUCGAACACAGCACAACACGUAAGCUUUAAGUGAUUAUUUAAAACUAGUCUUAUAAACAUGCUUUCUAAUAUGUAAGUACAUCGACAAGGGACUUACCGACAAGCAACAGUAAAAAAUAGAAAUAAAAAGAAAGCCCAACACAGCAAAAUGUGCAAGAUAUUUUCUGUAGGCCUUGAAAAUAUUGAAGAGCCCUCAAAGUGUCUAAUGCUUUAUAUUAAAAGUAACAAAUAUUUUGUUUAAGAGAUCAGUCGUAGUAAUUGUAAUUGUGGAACUUAAGAACUUGUCCACUUGUCCAUUAAUGAAAAGAGAAUGAGUUUAUAUAGUAAAAGGGAUUAGAGGGUAAAAGAAAAAAAAAAUUCCACUCAAUCAGAAUCAAUUAAGGAGAGGGAAAUAAGCUGAUGAGUCAGUCAAUGUCAAUCUUUGAAUCAGUGAAUCAAGCAUCCAUAAAUCAGUCUAAUAAUGAAGGAAAGCGAAUGUUUAAAAAAAUCAAUCCACAAUAUUAUUUUCCUUAGUUUAGUAAGGAGAAUCAAGUCUAAGCAGGUUACCAUAAAUAGAUGAGAGAUGAGUACAAGGAAAGCACUAAUUUAAGAGGAAAUAAGUACUAAUGGUAGAAAAUAUAUCAAGGUUGGUAAUUACCAUAAAUAAGUUCAAUAAUCACUAAAAAUAACCCCUACUCAAAUCAUGUUAAAAAAAGGGUCCGAACUUUACAUAAAAUAUGUCAAUCAAAUACCAACGAUUUUAUUGAAAUCCUAUUCUAAUAUUAAAGUAGGCAGUAAUCAAAGGGAACAAACUUAAAAAUUAUUAAAACUAAAAUAAGAGGGUUAAAUCAUGGGACAGUCAUGAAUAGUAGCUCGUAAUAUGGGAAGCUUCGAGGAAUACCUUACUUAACAUAUCAGUCCAGCAAAGCAGGAUAUCAAAUUAGUCAUAAUCUUACAGAAAUAUAGGGCUAAUUCAAAUCAGUAAUAUUUGGGCAUUUCAUAUAUGACAGUCUGAGCAAAUCAGAAAUAACGAAUUACAAAGAAACGAACCAAAACAUCAAUCAAACUCACAUUUUGAACUCUGUCGCAGAAAAGAAAAGAAGGAGGUAGGAGAAAUUACACAUAAAACUUCAACACAUAAACAAAUAUGUGGACGGGUUCUCAAGAACCCAUCAAUUUUUCGGUGAAGAACAGGUCGCAUAGAAAGUCAGGUUUGGUAGUAGUGUUGUGGCAGAUGUGGCACUUGGGGUUGAUGGUUGGUGACUCAGAUUUGGGGGUUAAAGUUGGAGCUAUGGAGGGAAGCUGGAGGAGGCGAAUGGUGUUGCCGUUGGUUGAGGAGAGGUGGAGAGAGGCAUCACCAGCGGCGGGAUGGCU